GCUGCGGGGGUGAAGGCUGGGGGCGCGGGCGGGGGGCGCUGCGGGGAUGAGGGCUGGGGGCGCUGCGGGGUGAAGGCUGGGGGCGCGGGCGCCCGGGCCUCCUCUGUAGGCCACUUAGCGGCAGCAGACGGUGGAGUCUGGGCCUGGGAGGGUGACCUGAUCCUUUGCUCUUUAAAGAGAAACCGGAAAGCUAGAUUUUUGCUUGAAAUGUUGGCAACUGGUGUACUUUAAAUUUUAAUGGAAAUUCCUUGCCUACGAAGGGACACGCUGUCCCCGGACGCGGGGUCCUCCUGUCUGUGCGGGAAGCGGGCGGGAGAUGUGGGAGCGCUGAGGCCGCCCAGAGCCAGAAGGCCUUGAGGGACCAGGAACCUACGAAGUCCCCAGGAAGGGGGGCUCCCCUGGCCCCCAGAUGUAGGCACCCCCGGCACUAGGGCCUGGCAUCUCUACCUGCCGACUCCACCCCUGCCACGGUGCCCCAUUCCCGCCACGAAUGACUUCGUAAUGUUCUUCAUGGCUGAAACACUUAACUAUAAAACUUUUUUCUCGUGCAAAAUUUUAAACAUAUACAGAAGUAGAAAGAGUCACAAACUGGCCAGGCAUGGUGGCUCACACCUGUAAUCCCAGCACUUUGGAAGGCGGAGGCGGGCGGAUCACUUGAGGUUGGAAGUUCGAGACUAGCCUGGCCAACAUGAGAAACCUGUCUCUACUAAAAAUAAAAAAAUUAGCCGUGUGUGGUGGCACGCUCCUGUAAUUUCAGCUACUGGGGAGGCAGAGGCAGGAGAAUCAUUUGAACCUGGGAGGCGGAGGUUGCGGUGAGUCAAGGUCCCACCACUGCACUCCAGCCUGAGCAACAAAGAGACUCUGUCGGAAAGAAGGAAAGAAAGAAAGAGAGAGAAAGAAAGAAAAAGAAAAAAAAAAGAGAGAAAGAAAGAGAGAGAGAAAACACAAAUCCCUCGCACCCAUCACCCAACUUCAGAGAUUGAUGUUCAUAGCUAGGUGUCACCUAUUAACCCUCCAACCCGAGGACACUUCAACCACACUGUACCCCACCCUCAUGGGGUUAUUUUGGAGUAAAUAUGAGAAAUCAUCUCUAUUCCAGGGUGUGUGACUAACAGUGUUUUGAAGAAAUCACAUUCUUUGCCCUGUAGAGUCACCCACAUUUGGAUUCCCAGUGUUCCUGCUCCCCGUGGUUCCUGUAAACUGGCAGAUCCUUCAGGAUGACGGCAGAUACCAUUUUUACUGCGGAUGGAAGUUUCCCAAUGUUAAGCAGAGGGGGUCUCUUCAGAUUGCUCCUGGGUCCGUCAAAUAUGAUCACAGGAGGUUUUUGUUUUCUUUUCUUUUCUUUUUGAGCAUCCUUGCUUGUUGAUGUGACAAAAUGUUCCAGGGUCAUCCAGUAGGUUUCCGGCCCUAAAUAUGGAAUCCACCAUUUCUACAAGGAAACUUGACUCCUUUUAAUGGAAAAUGGUUUUCAAGGUCAUAAUCUAGGAGCUGGAGAGUUGACAUCUUUGCCCUGGUCCCCUUUUGCCCACGUGGUUAAUGUGCACGCGGGCAGGUGAGCUGAUGCAGAGUCCCCCGUGGCUGGAUCAGGGCACAUCCAGGUUGACUUCUCUUCCGGAGCCUUCACAGUGCCUACUCCAGGAAUGGCUCACUCAGUCACAAAGCUCACCUCCUCUGCCUCCUCUAGGAAGGAUUCCAGUGUAAGAAGCAGUAGAAUCAAUAGCCUCGAGGCACAAGGAGCUUGGCACCUUCCAGGAAGGAAGAAGCCCAGGGGGCUGAGCACAGUGACUGGAUCAAGACAUUAGAAGAGGCCAGGAGGCCCUCGGAGGGCCAGACAGGAGUUGGAAUGCUAUUCUAAAAGCGACUGGGAUUGUGUUUUUGGCCAGACACAGUGGCUCACACCUGUAAUCCCAGCACUUUGGGAGGCCAAGGCGGGCAGAUCACUGGAGGUCAGGAGUUCAAGACCAGCCUGCGCAACCUGGGGAAACUCUGUCUCUACUAAAAAUACAAAAAUUAGCUGGGUGCGUGGUGCAUGCCUGUAAUCCCAGCUACUCGGGAGGCUGAGGCAGGAGAAUCACUUGAACCCGGGAGGCGGAGGUUGCAGUGAGCCGAGAUGGUGUCACUACACUCCAGGCUGGGCAACAGAGCAAGACUCUGUCUUUAAUAAUAAAUGAAUAAAUAAAUACCACAGGAAGCCCCUGAAUGGAGUAAGUUGGGAAGCAACAUGGCCUGGUGUGAAUUUGCAGAUGUUCACUGAGUCUAUGCUGACUGCCCUAUAGAUGUCUGGGACCUCAACGUGGGUGCCUCUGUAGGGCUGUCGUCCCAGAGCUACAUCCCAACCUCUUCAGAGGUGAGACACACAGAACAAGGAAGCACUGACAGAAUUCAAGGCAGAUCUAACACGUGGGUCUACAGGUGCUUUACAAAAUUUGCUUCCAUGGAGGCAACUUCCCAGACACCUGAGUCUUUCCAUGGAAAAAAAUGAUACUAUAGUUGUUUAUUGGUGAAAGAGAAAAGUUAGCUCAAACUUGGAAGAUGGCAAAUUAAGAAUAUACAAAACAAUUUUACAUGUACACAUCCUCAGACUUCAUAGGUGAAUGGCUGUGAGCUGACCGUGCUGCGUUUCCCAAAGCCCGCCCAAUGGCAUCCAUGGGGUGGUCGUUUCAUUUGUCUGUUUGGUUCAUUUUGUUUAUGCACAAUUUUAUUAAGAUCUAAUUGGAAUGCAGAAAACUUUAUAGGUGUUCAAAGUGUAAAAUUUAAUAAAGAUGAAUACUCUUGAAAGCAUCACCAGAAUCAAGAGAGUGUUUAGGACCAAAUAGAAUUUUUAAAAUAAUGCUUAUAGUUACAAAGUUUUAUUUCCUUUCUCCCCACCUCCUAUGUAUGAUUGUUUAAAUCAAGCCAAAAUUUUCAAAUUGUUUUGACCAAAAAAAAAAAAAAUCUUGCAAUGGAAAAAGAGGUAGAUAACUUUAAAUCUAAUUGGCUAUGGGCAGCUUCAGAGGACAGUCUGUUUACCUGAACCUCUCCUCACUGGGCACCACUGGGUACUCAGGUCCCCUAUGGGAAUGAAGAGAGGAGGCCUUAAAUGGUUCUCAGCUCCUUGUGGAAAUGUAACAAUGUGAGGACAAGUCCCCCUGUUUGUGAUUUGAGGUUUCCUCUUCUGCCUUCCGCUUGCUGGUGGGAGUAACCCUGUCCCUGUAUAACAGGCACAGUUACUAACAGCGCUGCUGUCGGCCUCUUAACAUGUACCCCUCCAGAGGCCUGAGAAGGGGUCCCUCCCUGUGUGGUCUGGGCUCUGAAGCCCAUCCUGGCCUUGGCCCAUCCUCCCAACCCCAUCCCCUACCUUGUUACUCCCAUGUAAGGCAUUCCAAGUCCUAGUUCACCUUGGCACUUUUACCCUGUUUGAAUUUCAUUACUGGGAAAUUCUCCCACCCUCCUACUUGAGUGAUUUAUUUCCAUUCUUCAGAUUCCAGCGAAAUGCCACCUCACAUCUGCACAUCUGUAACCCCUACUGGGGAGGCUGAGGCUGUAGGAUCCGUUGAACCCAGGGAAUUUUGAGGUCAGCCUGGGGGAAAAAAGCAAGAUCCCAGUUAUAAAAAUAAGGCCAGGUGCAGUGGCUCAUGCCUCUAAUCAAUCCCAGUACUUUGGGAAGCUGAGGCAGGUGGAUCGUUUGAGAUUCUGAGUUCAAGACCAGCCUGGCCAACAUGGUGAAACCCCAUCUCUACUAAAUAUACAAAAAUUAGCUGGGUGUGGUGGCAUGUGCCUAAAAUCCCAGCUACUUGGGAGGCUGAGGCAGAAGAAUCUCUUGAACUCAGGAGGCAGAGGUUGCAGUGAGACAAGAUCACACCACUGCAUUCCAGCCCAGGCAACAGAGUAACAUUGUCUCAAAAAAAUGAAAAUAAGGCCGGUCGCGGUGGCUCAAGCCUGUAAUCCCUGCACUUUGGGAGGCCGAGGUGGGUGGAUCAUGAGGUCAAGAGCUCGAGACCAUCUUGGUCAACAUGGUGAAACCCCAUCUCUACUAAAAAUACAAAAAAUUAGCUGGACAUGGUGGUGCGUCCCUGUAAUCCCAGCUACUCGGGAGGCUGAGGCAGGAGAAUUGCCUGAACCCAGGAGGCGGAGGUUGCGGUGAGCCGAGAUCGCACAUUGCACUCCAGCCUGGGUAACGAGAGUGAAACUCUGUCAAAAAAAAAAAAAAUUAAAAUAAAAAAUAGAAAUAAAAUAAAUGUCAACUCAGAUGAACCCUGUAAUGAAAACUUGUCUUUCUUAGCACGCAGCAUCAGGAAUACAUUUUGGGUUUGUUUCUCCCACCAGACUCAGUUUCCCAAGGACAAGGACCAUCUUGUUUCUAAGUAUGUGCGUGAGACCAGGUUUGGUAUUUGGCAUAUAAGACACGAUCAGCGCUCAGCAUUCUGGUAACUGUCUAGCAGUAAUGUGAGCUGGAAAGACUUGGGACUGAAAUCAGUGGAUGGAACUGGUUCCUAACCAAGGGCCAUAUUACCCACCAGGAGACAUUUGCAAGGCCAGGAGAUUUUUUUCCUUUGUCAGGAGGAGGUAGAGGCUGGCCACUGUCUUCAGUGAGCAGAGGUCAGGACUGCGAAGUGCCCCGCACUGCAUAAGACUGCCCCCAACAGUGAGGCAUUGUUCGGUGGGAAAUGUCAGUCACGCAGAGGUUAAGAAGCCCUGAUCUAUAGUGACCCCGGCCAAACAAAUUCUCAGUUCUAUUGAGACAGUCUGUCUUUUGCUGAUAUGUUCUGAUACCUGAAAAUCAAAUGAUCUCCCUGGGUUUCAAAAAGCUGUUCAUUUUCUUUAGCUUCCUUUCUCUUGGAAAAACAGCACAUUUUGAUCUCAGAUGGUAAACAUUUUAGUUAUUAUACAGUGACCCUUUAGAGUAUUUCUAUUCAAGAUUUUGUAAUUUAGAAACCAAUUUCUAAGUGUUU